rnacentral:lncRNA from 1 species
AUGUCCAGGAGUGGGAUCACUCGCUCAUAUGGUAGCUCCAUAUUCAGUUUCCUGAGGAACCUCCAUACUGUUCUCCAUAGUUGUCAUACCAAUUUACAUUUCCACCAACAGCAUGGAGGGUUCCCUUUUCUCCACACCCUCUUCAGCACUUGUUAUUUGUGGACUUCUCAAUCAUGGCCAUUCUGACUGGUGUGAGGUGGUACCUCAUUGUAGUUUUGGUUGGCAUUUUUCUAAUGGAGAUGGUGAGCAUUUUUUCACAUGCCCACUGGCUAUCCAUAUGUCUUCUUUGGAAAAAUGUCUAUUUAGGUCUUCUGCCUAUUUUUCGAUUGGGCUGUUUGUUUUUUUGUUACUGAGUUGUAUGAAUUGUUUGUAUAUUUUGGAGAUUAAGCCCUUGUUGGUUUCAUCAUUUGCAACUGUUUUCUCCCAUUCUGUAAGUUAUGUUUUCUUUUUCAAUGGUUUCCUUUGCUGUGCAAAACUUUCAAGUUCGAUUAGGUCCUACUUGUUUAUUUUUGGUUUUAUUUCUCUUGCCUUGGGAGACUGCAGUUGUCACUUUUGAAUGCUAGUGUCCCCUGUUGAGUUGUGAGCUGCGUGAGGACAAGGACCUUGGCUUUUACUUCCCUGACUGGCCAUGUGCAGUGAGCAUCCGACACUGGUCGACUUGCCCUCUGUCGGGGUUUCUUGCAGGGACACAGGAAGAUGGGGUCCUGCACCUUCCUAUGCAGGCAUCUUUGUUUUUAUCGGCACAGCCCCCUCGAACCCUCUGCAGUCCCUAGGAAUCCCCUGCUCAUCAAAUCUAGCAGAUUCCCUGUUUUCCUUCUGCCUUCUCUCUCUGCAGCAUCUGGCACUGUUUGCUGCUUCCACCAUCUUGAAAUGAUCCUUCCUUGGCCUCCAUCUCGUCACACCCUCUCCACGUCCUUCUGUCCAAUGAGUUGUUCGCUUUUGUCUUGCACAAAGUUCUCCCCUGAGCCUCCAUCCUCAGGAGCAGCAUGAGGUAGUGGAAAGAAUGCAGGUCUGGGAGCCAGAGUGACUGUUUGAUUCUGGGCUGUAUCAUUUAUUAGUUGGGUGACCUCUCUGAGCCUCAAUUUUCUCAGCUGUAAAAUGCCGAUUAAUCACGAGGUUUAAAGAUAUUGUAAGUGAAGGGCCUACAUAAAGUCAUGGCUCAAUGCAGGGCAGUUAUGGGUGUUCUCAGGCAACUCUGCCAAGCAUUACACAAGCCUCCGUUGACUCACAGCUCACCUCUGGGCUGGGGAGAGCCAGCACUCUCUCUGCAUCUCUGAAUUCUCUCGCGCAUCUGGUCCCUGACGCCACAUAUCUGCUAAGUAUUUCCACUUUGGACAUCCUGCCAUGACCGUAGUAUUGGCCUGCGUAAACCAACCUUGUUCCUUUUCUUCUUUCUCCAAAGCCUUUCUUGCCAGGAUUUCCCUGAUUCAGUUGUCCACGUCACUCUUUCCCAGACUCUUGGCCUUGAAAAGCUGGGGAGUGUCCUUAAUCCAGGCAUCUCUUUUGCCCUUCAUAUUUGGGAAUCGCAAUGAUUAUUGGUAGAGUGACUUAAUGCAUGUCUGCCUUCAUCUCAACAGGAUUUUGAAGUAGGCUGUUAAAGAAAUGAGACCAGGGGAUGCCAGAUCACCUGCCCAGAGAGUGAGGGGUAGAGCAAGACUCAGACUCAGGGCCUGGGCUUUUCCCAUCUCUCAGAGGCUCCCUCCAUGGAGUGACGGGUAGUCAGGCCGGUCCCACAUCCCACUAAUCCCAGAUGCUGAGGUCUCUCCAUCUUAAACAGAUAACAUAAACUUAUGGUUCCCAGGGGGGACAGGUUGGGAGGGAUGGACUGGGGGUGUGGGAUUGGCAUCUGCACACUGAGGUCUGUGGAAUGAUUGGCCAACGGGGACCUGCUGUAGAGCACAGGGAACUCUACCCAAUAUUCUGUGAUCAUCUAUGUGGGAAAAGAAUCUGAAAGAGAAUAGAUGUGUGUCCAUGUGUAAGUGAAUCACUUUGUUGUACAAACAGAAAUCAUCACAACCUUGUAAGUCAACUCUACUUCAGUAAAACUAAACACACAAAAACAACACCACCAACAAAAUAAACUGAUGAACCUUUCCCUUGUCUCUCUCCUGCUCUCAGCCUUCUCCUGCCUCCUCCUGCACGCCCCUGCCAGCCUGCCUGAUGUUCCGCUCUUCAGUUCUGUAGUCACAGCAAGUCAGCGUUUACCUCCCCGGAAUGGCCCCUACCGAGGUCACCUGGUCCCCAGGACACUCUGUGGCCCUCGCCAUACCUGAGCCCUGUUUAACCCAUCCCAGCCCCACUUCCUCACAACAUGCUCCUCCUUAGUUUCUCUCUUGAGGAAGAGAGAGGACCGGAGACUCUCCUUAGGAGCUUAAUGAAAGACGCAGCCGUGUUGGAGAAGCUCACGUGUCAAGGAAUUGUGGGCAGCCUCUAGAACCCCAGGGGUGCCUGCAGCCAAUGGCCAGCACGGAGCUGGGCCCUCGUGACAGCCAUAGGACGUGAGCUCUGCCAAGAACCUGAAUGAGCUUGGAAGCAGGUUCUUCCCCAGCUGAGCCUCCAGAUGAGGAUGCAGCCUCGAGAGAUCCUGAGCAGAGGACUCAGACUCCUGAACACGGAAACUCUGAGAUCACAAAUGCGUGCUGUUUUAAGCCAUUGCAUUUGUGGUGAUUUGUUAUGCAACACAGAAAAAUAAUGCAGGCGGGGUUCAGCUGAUAACGAGUAGCUGAGGAUUGGAGCCAGGGAUCAAACCCGUGUCCUCAUGGGUACUAGUUGGGUUUGUUACCGCUGAGCCACAAGGAAACGCCUGUCUUGUUGCUUUCAAGUGAUUAAAAGAAGAUGCAACGGUUAAGAAAUUCUUGUUAUACUUGCAGUUGUGAUUAGGUAAGCACACUUUGUAAUUAUCAUAUUAAUUGCCGAUAUUCAAAUGAGAGCUUGAAGGUUUUUUUUUUUUUUUUUUUUAAAGAUGGACAUUCUCAUAGUCUUUAUUUUAUUAGUGUUUUGGGAGCUAGAUAUGGUGCAACAGGAAAUAGCACAGCCCUUGUUUAAAUGGUCACAAACAUCAAAUGAGCUGGAUACAGUGAUGGAAUUUUCACUCUCUGCUCAAAUGGCAGGCCCGAAGCUGAUUUUGCCACCCAAGUGGCUGAAGAGGGAAGGACAUGAUCAUGUUUGUCAACUGAAGCCGCGGGGACAGGGCUUCACCACGGCUCCAUGGAGCUGCCUGCUCCAGUGGAAUUUCAUGUUUUGUCUUUCUCCCCUUGGAAAGCGCUGGAAGAACAGCCCGUAGUCCACGUGAGAUCCUGCAGGACCACAUAGCAUUGGUUAAUCAGAGUCUUUCCAGAGCAUUUGAAAGUGUGAUGCAAAACUCAGGUCAGGAAAUGCUGUCAACUGGAAUUAGGAGGCUGCAUUAUUUGACUAAGACAGGCAAGCAAGGGCCAUUCUGGGUCCUGGGCCUUUGUUUCCUCUCUCUUCUUUCACUGUAAGCCCAGAACCCACAGAGCCACUGAAGAGCACCCAAAAGGCUGUGGUGGAAGAGGAAGCAAUAUUUUUGCUUCCAGUAUCCGAGGCAGGAUGCAGGGCCUGGAUGGCAGCUGAGGAGCUCGACACAGAGGAGCAAAAACUCAGGUUUUGCUAAAAUGCACCCCAGGACAGCCUUUCCUUCUAGAAAGUUCUCCUCAGAGGUCAAGGCACUGAGCUGCUGGGAUGCUUAGGUUUGCCCAGAGAAGAGAGGGACGGAAGGCAGGAGAAGGUGGCAGGCCCUCAGCCCAGCCUAGACAGCUUCCAGGGAGGGAGGACAGGGCGCUCGGGUGCAGGCCUGGCUCUCUUACAGAACCCCGCCUUCACCGCUAGGCAUUCCCAAGGCCCCCAGCCGCCUCUGCCACAGGUUCUGCAGCUGGAGCUGAGCUCAACAGCACUCAGGGCUGGGUUCCAGUCCACAUGUCACCCUGCAUUCCGGGCCUGCUGUGGCCACCACUGGCUGUGGGCCCUUAGUGGAUCUCUGAGCAGCUCUGGGGUUUCAGGCUUCUCCCCCAUCUGCUGAAUGCAUCUUGUUCCCAUGUGGCCCUGGGUGCAGCCUCACAGGAGAAUCUCCAAUGACCAGAAAGAGGUCUAAUUUUUUUUUCUCCUUUUUUGGCUGCCUUGUGGCAUAUGGAGCUCCCAGGCCAGGGAUCAGAUCACAACCUAAGACACAGCUGCAGCAACGAUGGAUCCUUAACCCACUGAGCCUGUCUGGGGGAUCGAACCUGUGGUCCUGGUGCUCCCAAGACAUAGCCUAUCCCCUUGCACCACAGCGGGAACUCUGAAGUCCAAUUUUUCUGUCUUCUAGGAAGGAGGAUUUUCUUGGCUGUAUGUAAAAGACUCUGAAUAACAGCAGCUUGAACAGCACCAAAGUUUCUCUCCCUUUGAUGCCAAAGCCUGGAUGAAGGCACUUCCGGGCAGUGUGAUAGUGCCUGGUCCUCCCUAAACCAGGCUCUCCAGGCAGUCUGAGGGUGUGCUUUUGAGCCUAAGGUCCAAGGUAACGUGGCAAGAAACAACCUCGUGCACAUAUCCUUAAGUCUGCCUUUCUGGAGGAUGCUUGAUCACUGUUGGGAGGAAGAAGAGAAAAGCGAAGACCCGUGUUGAUAAGACAGCACCGUUUCUAGGAAUCCACGUGUUUCAUUCUGUCUGCUCUUGGGGAGGAAAUAAUGGGGGGCAUAUUCCCUCUUGUCUGAGAAGGAGAUGAAGCCCCUGUGUCCUGGGAAGGCUGGAAUGAAGCUUUGUAGGGUGAGGAGAACAGCCUGGGCGCCCCCACGGCAGCACAGGAACCCUCCCAGAUCUGGGCAGACCGCGCGCAGGGCCACAGCCCGGAGGCACAGAACCAGAGGCACAGGAUGGUCAUCCAGCCCACGGAGAGCUCAGCCAUGGACACCGAGGCCUGGGGAGCAUCAGUGACUUGAAGGUUGUGCUGACUCUACUCCAUGCCUUCCUUGGAGCUGCAAGCCCUUGGCCUCCUCAUCCUCUUCUUCUUGGACCAGCCCCAGCCUAUGGUGUUAAGUGGCCCUACACACCUCGGUCCAGCCUUGGCCACCCAUGGAUGGGGCUCAGGGCAGCAGUUUCCACAAAGCCUUGUAACUUGAUUGAGAAUUUGAGCAGCAGCAGCCAGUUCUCCUGAGCCCCGUCCUAGCUGGAAACUCUGGAGGCCUUUGUAUAAAUGCCCCACUAUGGGGUCCAGCUCAAGGGUGGCUCAGACACAGUCUGGAAUGGUCCCUGGUCAUGGGUCAUCCAUGGCAAGCUGGAAGCCAGGCUGAGCACACCCAAAGCCCUGGUUGUAACCCUAAGCGUCCUGAUGACUCACUGGGUGAUUGAUUUCAAAAUCCCCAGUUGCUGGUUGGUGCCAUGUGUCUGAUGGCCCAGAUGCCCUGGACUCUGAGCAGCUGUGUCACAGACAGAAUUUCCCACUGGCCCCUCGUCCCUGUCUUCAAUGAGGUCUGUGAGCCCUGGGCUCCCUCCCUAAACAGUUUUCCAACAUGAGGAUGACAUGCCCAGGACCCUGCAAGGGGAAAGGCUGGGUCUUGGGACUUUUCCCCCGUGGGUGUUCGCAGACUCAAGAUGAAAGGAAGCUCUCCAGCCACUCUGGGAAACAGUAUGGAGUUUCCUUCAAAAAUGAAAAAUAGAUUUACCGUGUGAUCCAGCAAUCCUAUUCCUGGGCAAAUACCCAGACAAAACUCUAAUUCCAAAUGAUACAUACACCCCAAUGUUCAUUGCAGCACUCUAUACAAUAGCCAAGACAUGAAGAAACCUAAAUGUCCAUCAACAGAUGAAUGGAUUAAGAAGAAGUGGUACAUGUAUUCAAUGGAACACUACUCAGCCAUAAAAAAGAAUGAAAUAAAGCCCUGUGCAGCAGCAUGGAUGGACCUAGAGAUUCUCCUACUCAGUGAAGUAAGUCCGACAGAGAAAGACAGAUACUGUAUGAUUUCACUAUGAUAUGUGGAAUCUAAAAUAUGACCCAAAAGGAUAUAUCCACAGGUGUUCCCACUGUGGUGCAAUGGGAUUGGUGGUGUCUUGGGAGUGCUAGGACGUGGGUUUGAUCCCAAGCCCAGCACAGUGGGUUAAGGAGCUGGCAUUGCUGCAGCUGUGGCUUAGGUUGCAGCUGCGGUUCGGAACUGAUCCUUGAGCUGGGAACUCCAUAUAUUAUGGGGCGUCUAAAAAAGAAAAAAAAAAAA